rnacentral:rRNA from 1 species
UACGUAGGGGGCAAGCGUUGUCCGGAUUUACUGGGCGUAAAGGGCGCGUAGGCGGCAAUUCAAGUCAGCUGUGAAAUCUCCGGGCUUAACUCGGAACGGUCAGCUGAUACUGCUUUGCUAGAGUGCAGAAGGGGCAAUCGGAAUUCUUGGUGUAGCGGUGAAAUGCGUAGAUAUCAGGAAGAACACCAAUGGCGAAGGCAGCUCUCUGGGACGGUACUGACGCUGAGACGCGAAAGCGUGGGGAGCGAACAGG